rnacentral:lncRNA from 1 species
GUUGCACAAGGCAUAGGGUAAAGGGAAAAUGCUCCUAUUAUUGAACGUUCCAGAAAUAUGAUCUUGAUGAACUAAGAAAGAAUAACUUGGAACCAACUGUGAUUCUUCACACAAUUCUCUGAAGACAGGUCCUUGACUAUUUGAGAGGUCCCCUUGACCAACCACCUGUUCUGCUUAACGUUAAGAACAAGUGAACGAGAUAGAAUCAUAGAAUCCUGUUGGAAGGGACCUCUGAGCUCAUCUACUCCAGCUACCUUCCAGUAGACAAGAAUAUCCACAGCUAGAUAAGGUUGCCCAGGGCCUUAUUUAGCCUCACUUUGAAAG